rnacentral:rRNA from 1 species
UACAGAGGUCUCAAGCGUUAAUCGGAGUCACUGGGCUUAAAGGGUGCGUAGGCGGCGCCGCAAGUGUAUUGUGAAAGCCCACGGCUCAACCGUGGAAUGGCUCGAUAGACUGCGGUGCUUGAGGUUGGUAGGGGUCGCUGGAACUCUAGGUGGAGCGGUGAAAUGCGUAGAUAUCUAGAGGAACGCCAAAGGUGAAGACAGGCGACUGGGCCAAUUCUGACGCUGAGGCACGAAAGCGUGGGUAGCGAACGGG